CUGGAACGGUGGCUAAUACCGGAUGUGCCGAGAGGUGAAAGAUUAAUUGCCUAGAGAUGAGCUCGCGUCUGAUUAGCUAGUUGGUAGUGUAAGAGACUACCAAGGCGACGAUCAGUAGCUGGUCUGAGAGGAUGAUCAGCCACACUGGGACUGAGACACGGCCCAGACUCCUACGGGAGGCAGCAGUGGGGAAUUUUCCGCAAUGGGCGAAAGCCUGACGGAGCAAUACCGCGUGAGGGAGGAAGGCUCUUGGGUUGUAAACCUCCCUUUC
rnacentral:rRNA from 1 species